CCCCUCCCCUGUCCCGCCUCCUCCGGGGAGGAAACUCCGAGGGGUGAUUCACCGUGAUUCAAUUGCGCCGCCGAGCGCGACGCUUCCCUUCGGCCCCGGCGGCUCCAGGUGCGGCGGGGAACCGGGUUCCCCGGCCUCCCGGCCCCCUGACGCCCGGGCCACCCAGGCCGGCGACCCCGACGUCCGGCCUGAGUGGGCGGGGCUGCGGGGAAGAAGGCGGGGACGCCUUGGAAGGAGUUCUCGAGGUGGAGGUCCGGAGGUCAGUUAGCCCAGGCUCAGCCCAGCCCAGCUCGGGGUAGUGACUGAGGAAGAGCUCCCCCAGUCCGGCGGUUUGCCCUUGGGAGAAUUCCAGCAUGACAUCUGCAGCCCUGUGGUUCCAGAAAGGAUGGUUCUCACGCUGAAGAAGACAUUCGUGGGACUGAGUUACUUCCGCCCCAAGUGUAGAGAAACCAAAAAUGAAAUUUAAAAAUAUCAUCAGACUCUUGUGUGUGUGUGUGCCUGUCAUAAGCAUUGGGCUUUUUGAAUCUAUUUCUGGCUUCCUCUUUGGGCUUUCCUGUAAAAUUGUCAGGCAAGAGAAUGUUAAUUCUUAUUCUAAGUGGCACUGUACAAGGUCUUGUCAAAGUACCUGCCAUCAUUCCGUUUUUAUUACUCUGUAGUUGCCUCCAAGACAGACUGGACGGGUUUUAGGGAGAGAGCAGAGUCUCCUACUUUUUUUCUAGGGAAGUCAGCCUUGCCUUUUAGUACAUACUGCAUACACAUUUCCAUAUAACAUUAUGGAAUAAGCCAUAGCAAUACACUCAUUUUAAAGGCAAUAAAACCCUGCAAAGUUUUUUUCUCUCUGUGUCUGAACUGAGAUGAACUGAAAUAGCACAUCCAGGUUUAGCUCUUGUCCACCUUUCCUGGAAGCUGAAAUCUGCACUUGCUGGUUUCCUCUUUGAGCUCUCUUCCAGCUCUAAAACCCACAGAAUUUAUAUUUGCAAAACGAGACCAUGCAAGCCUCCUUUUUGUAGUCUCCGGGCCUGAGUCAUUUUCCCUAACAGAUCUUUAGCAAGCCUGGGAUGUGAUUCUUUGCACUGGAGUUGAAGGUACCUAGAAGAAAAUGUUACACUUGCGUUCCAAGACCCAGGGAGUUGUUGCUUUGUCUACAGAGUAAUUGGUUCCAUUUGGAGACACUGACUGUCCUGAAAUCAUAAAGGGCUUUAAGUGAUGUCAGGGUCAGCAAUUUGGCAAGAAAAAUAUGUUUAACGUUAGA